GAUGAACGCUAGCGGGAGGCUUAACACAUGCAAGUCGAGGGGCAGCAUAGGGUAGCAAUACUCUGAUGGCGACCGGCAAACGGGUGAGUAACGCGUAUGCAACCUACCCUGUACAGGGGGAUAACCCGGAGAAAUUCGGACUAAUAUCCCGUAAUAAUAUCCGGAGGCAUCUUUGGAUAUUAAAGUUUCGACGGUACGGGAUGGGCAUGCGUAACAUUAGCUGGUUGGUAAGGUAACGGCUUACCAAGGCUAUGAUGUUUAGGGGUCCUGAGAGGGUGGUCCCCCACACUGGUACUGAGACACGGACCAGACUCCUACGGGAGGCAGCAGUGAGGAAUAUUGGUCAAUGGGCGCAAGCCUGAACCAGCCAUCCCGCGUGCAGGAAGACGGCCCUAUGGGUUGUAAACUGCUUUUCCAGGGAGAGAAACUUACGCACGUGUUGCGUGACUGACGGUACCCUGGGAAUAAGCAUCGGCUAACUCCGUG
rnacentral:rRNA from 1 species